rnacentral:rRNA from 1 species
AUUGAACGUUGGCGGCAGGCCUAACACACGCAAGUCGAACGAGCGGCGGACGGGUGAGUAAUGUAUGGGAAACCGCCUGAUCGAGCUGGCUAACCACUGGAAACGGUAGCUAAUACCGCAUACCAUCGCUUGUGCCCAGAUGGGAUUAGCUAGUAGGUGGGGUAAAGGCUCACCUAGGCGACGAUCCAUAGCUGGUCGGAGGGGAUGACCAGGCACACUGGAACUGAAACACGGUCCAGAGUCCGACGGGAGGCAGCAGUGGGGAGUGUUGCACAAGGGGCGAAAGCCUGAUGCGGACGUGCCGCGUGUAUGAAGAAGGGCUUCGGGUUAUGAAGUACUUUCAGCGGGGAGGCGUUACCCGCAGGAGAGGCAACGGGUAACUCCGUGCCAGCAGCCGCGGUAAUAC